rnacentral:lncRNA from 1 species
AAAAGAUCAGAGUGCUAUGUUUAAAAAAAAAAAAAAUCACAGAACCAAAAAAAAAAAAAAAAAAAAGCUUUUGGAAGUUAAAAUUGCAGUAGCAAAUAUAAAGGGAGUUUAGAUAAAAUAGGAGAUACAUAUUGAAGGCAGAAUUUAUGAUUAAAAAAAAAAAAAAAAAAAAGGUAAGUAAGGACAUGAUAAAAACAAGAUAGGCUGUGUGUGAGGAGAAGAUGGUAGAUGAAGGUUAU